GGCGAAAGCCUGGAUGCAGCGACGCCGCGGUGAGGGAUGACGGCCUUCGGGUUGUAAACCUCUUUCAGCAGGGAAGAAGCGAAAGUGACGGUACCUGCAGAAGAAGCGCCGGCUAACUACGUGCCAGCAGCCGCGGUAAUACGUAGGGCGCAAGCGUUGUCCGGAAUUAUUGGGCGUAAAGAGCUCGUAGGCGGCUUGUCACGUCGGGUGUGAAAGCCCGGGGCUUAACCCCGGGUCUGCAUCCGAUACGGGCAGGCUAGAGUGUGGUAGGGGAGAUCGGAAUUCCUGGUGUAGCGGUGAAAUGCGCAGAUAUCAGGAGGAACACCGGUGGCGAAGGCGGAUCUCUGGGCCAUUACUGACGCUGAGGAGCGAAAGCGUGGGGAGCGAACAGGAUUAGAUACCCUGGUAGUCCACGCCGUAAACGUUGGGAACUAGGUGUUGGCGACAUUCCACGUCGUCGGUGCCGCAGCUAACGCAUUAAGUUCCCCGCCUGGGGAGUACGGCCGCAAGGCUAAAACU
rnacentral:rRNA from 1 species